rnacentral:rRNA from 1 species
AGGAUGAACGCUGGCGGCGUGCCUAACACAUGCAAGUCGAACGUCCUGUCUCGCAAGAGGCAGGGAGUGGCGGACGGGUGAGUACCACGUGGGUUAUCUACCGUGAGGUGAGGAAUACCGGCGAGAAAUCGCCGACAAGACCGCAUAGCCUCGGUGCAAGCCGAGGAAAGCUUUCUCGAGAGAGGGAGCGCCACACGAGGAGCCUGCGCCCGAUUAGCUAGCUGGUGGAGUAACGGUUCACCAGGGCGACGAUCGGUAGCUGGUCUGAGAGGACGAUCAGCCACACUGGGAUUGAGAACGGCCCAGACUCCUACGGGGGGCAGCAGUGAGGAAUUUUCGUCAAUGGGGGCAACCCUGAACGAGCAACGCCGCGUGCAGGAAGACGCUUUUCGGAGUGUAAACUGCUUUUCUCGAGGAAGAAACCGGACGGUACUCGAGGAAGAAGCCCCGGCUAACUACGUGCCAGCAGCCGC